rnacentral:rRNA from 1 species
CCUACGGGAGGCAGCAGUAGGGAAUCUUCCACAAUGGGCGAAAGCCUGAUGGAGCAACGCCGCGUGGGUGAAGAAGGUCUUCGGAUCGUAAAACACUGUUGUUAGAGAAGAAAGUGCGUGAGAGUAACUGUUCACGUUUCGACGGUAUCUAACCAGAAAGCCACGGCUAACUACGUGCCAGCAGCCGCGGUAAUACGGAGGUGGCAAGCGUUAUCCGGAUUUAUUGGGCGUAAAGGGAACGCAGGCGGUCUUUUAAGUCUGAUGUGAAAGCCUUGGGCUUAACCGGAGUAGUGCAUCGGAAACUGGGAGACUUGAGUGCAGAAGAGGGGAGUCGAACUCCAUGUGUAGCGGUGAAAUGCGUAGAUAUAUGGAGGAACACCAGUGGCGAAAGCGGCUCUCUGGUCUGUAACUGACGCUGAGGUUCGAAAGCGUGGGUAGCAAACAGGAUUAGAUACCCUUGUAGUC